GUUAAUGUAGCUUAUAGUAAAGCAAGGCACUGAAAAUGCCUAGAUGAGUGAUUUACUCCAUAAACA
rnacentral:tRNA from 2 species